UACGAAGGGGGCAAGCGUUGUUCGGAAUUACUGGGCGUAAAGGGCUCGUAGGUGGCCAACUAAGUCAGACGUGAAAUCCCUCGGCUUAACCGGGGAACUGCGUCUGAUACUGGAUGGCUUGAGUUCGGGAGAGGGAUGCGGAAUUCCAGGUGUAGCGGUGAAAUGCGUAGAUAUCUGGAGGAACACCGGUGGCGAAGGCGGCAUCCUGGACCGACACUGACGCUGAGGAGCGAAAGCCAGGGGAGCAAACGGG
rnacentral:rRNA from 1 species